GAUGAACGCUGGCGGCGUGCUUAACACAUGCAAGUCGAACGGAAAGGCUCCUGCUUGCAGGGGUACUCGAGUGGCGAACGGGUGAGUAACACGUGGGUGAUCUGCCCUGCACUUCGGGAUAAGCCUGGGAAACUGGGUCUAAUACCGGAUAGGACCACAUUUUGGAUGGUGUGGUGGAAAGCUUUUCGGUGUGGGAUGAGCUCGCGGCCUAUCAGCUUGUUGGUGGGGUAAUGGCCUACCAAGGCGUCGACGGGUAGCCGGCCUGAGAGGGUGUACGGCCACACUGGGACUGAGAUACGGCCCAGACUCCUACGGGAGGCAGCAGUGGGGAAUAUUGCACAAUGGGCGCAAGCCUGAUGCAGCGACGCCGCGUGGGGGAUGACGGCCUUCGGGUUGUAAACUCCUUUCGCUAGGGACGAAGCGUUUUUGUGACGGUACCUGGAGAAGAAGCACCGGCUAACUACGUG
rnacentral:rRNA from 1 species